UACAGAGGUCUCAAGCGUUGUUCGGAUUCAUUGGGCGUAAAGGGUGCGUAGGCGGCGCGGUAAGUCGGGUGUGAAAUCUCGGAGCUCAACUCCGAAACUGCAUUCGAUACUGCCGUGCUUGAGGACUGGAGAGGAGACUGGAAUUUACGGUGUAGCGGUGAAAUGCGUAGAUAUCGUAAGGAAGACCAGUGGCGAAGGCGGGUCUCUGGACAGUUCCUGACGCUGAGGCGCGAAAGCUAGGGGAGCAAACGGG
rnacentral:rRNA from 1 species